rnacentral:rRNA from 1 species
AUGGAGGAGCGGCUUGCCUCCCACAAGAGAGCUCCGAGGAAGCCGAAGCCGCCGCCGAGGCGGACCAAGCCGACCGUCCCCGCCGCACCUACCAGCAGCCCGUCGUUGACCGGCCCGCCACGCCCGCCAGGCGUUCCACCGCCACCUGGGCCUCCUCCGCGGCUGCCUGGAGGCCCUGUCCCGCCGGCGCCGUCUAUGAAAGUGCCCGGAAAGGGCCGUGCGCCUGUGGCUGUGGGCGGCGGUGGCGAAAGAAUGCGCCGCGCGCCCGAGAUCGUGGAGUUCUACCAGUCCCUGACCAGGCGCGGCGAGGCCAGGCAGGCUGGCUCCCGAGGCCCCAAGGCGUCCGGCGGGUCAACGGCUCCCAAGAGCGACCUGAUCGGAGAGAUCACCAAGAACUCCCCCCAUCUCCUUGUUCAAGCCGAUGUGGAGACCCAAGGGGACUUCGUGCGGACCUUGGUCGCCGAGGUCCGGGAUGCGACCUUCGCGAGCAUCGAGGACGUCGUCGCGUUUGUGACAUGGCUCGACGAAGAGCUCUCCUUCUUGGUGGAUGAACAAGCAGUCCUGAAGCACUUCGACUGGCCGGAGAAAAGAGCGGACGCAUUGCGAGACGCCGCUGCCAGGUACCAGGGCCUUCUGCAGUUGGAGAAGCAGAUUUCGUCCUUCGUCGAUGACCGCGCGCUCCACCGCGACGCAGCGCUCGGCAAGAUGUACUCCCUCUUUGAGAAAACAGAGAAGAGCGUCCACAAGUUCCUGCAAGAUAGGGAUGCCGCCGAUACGAAGAACAAUCUCAUCUCACGGUACAAGGAGCAAGACAUCCCAGUUGGCUGGAUGGCAGACGCAGGUUUAAUUGUGAAGGUCAAGUUGGCGUGCGUCAACCUCGCAAAGCAGUACAUGACGCGGGUGGUCUCGGAGAUUGAUGGUUUAAGAGGCAUCAACAAAGAUCACACCAGGGAAACAGCAUUCUUCAAACGUCUGAAAGAGCAGAACAGUGAAGUGCUGCUCCAUCAGGGUGUCAGGUUCGCGUUCCGGGUUCAUCAGCAAUUCUAUCUUCCCAUCCAUCUCGCGGCUCUUGCCAUGGCGGAUCGGCCGGGAAGCUCGUUGCCGGCCGUUCCUCGUCCGGCCCGGCCCCGGAGCGGCCAAGCGUCCUACUCGCCCCGCCGGCGCGUCCAGCCAUCCAACGCGCAGCUCCUCGUCUACCUCGCCCUCGCGGUCACGCUGGCCGCCCUCCUGGUCCUCACCGGCGUCACGCUCACCGUCGCGUCAGUCGUGCUCGUCGUCCUCGCCCCGCUCCUGCUCCUCACCAGCCCUCUCUGGGCGCCGGUGGCGGUCGUGGCCAUCGUCUCGGGGGGCGCCUUGCUGUUCGGCUGUAGCCUCACGGUGUUUGCGCUGGGCGCGGGCACGUGGGCGCACCGGCACUUGACGGGGCGGCACCCGGUGGGCACGCAUCGGGUGGGCUACGCCUACGGCUACGCGCGUGGGCGUGGCCGGUUCGCCGGUGCGGGUGGCCACGCGACGGGCUACCACGGCCAAGGACAAGGCUACGAUCGGAUGAAGGACGCCGUGCCCGGGGCCUAG